GCUAGCGAGACAAUAACCGGCCGCUCGGCUCUGGGGGCGGCGGCGAGGAGCAGGGCCGGCCUAGCGCGGCCGCGGCCCGCCGAGCGCCCGGGCGGCGUCUCGGCCGCCGCCGCCGCCGUCGGGGGCGCGGGGCGCGCGGGGCCCGGCCGACGGCGCCUCCCCUCCCCCUCCGCGGCGCGCGCGCUGGGGUUCCGGGUUCCCCUGGACGGAGCUGGCUCCUGCCUUGCGCCGAGGCAGGAAGUGAGUUUCGCACGGCAAUUCCGGGCGGUGUCACGAGUGAAAAAGUUUUUUUUUUUUUUUUUCCUCCUCCUCUCGGCGGAGAUCCUAGUUGGGGCUGGGAAACUCCUGCAAACUCGAGACCAGGAAGCCAGCCCGCAUCCCAACCCCCACCCGGGCAGCCUACUCUGCUGCUGCGGGCGGCCGCUGCACAUCCGUUCUCACCGGAGAGACUCGGCUGGAUGCGAAGUGACUAACGCGGGCGAGGGAAUCAUGGGCAGCGAAGCCUGGAAAAAGCAGCCCUGAGACGCCGUCCGGCCGAAAGGUGUUGACUCCUAAAAUAUUUCCUUCAUUAAUUGAAAGCAAGCGUCUGCUAGACUUUUCUUGUGACUGAACCAUUAGGAUGGAGAAGGAGGGAGUGAGGAUUACAGAUGAAGAAUGUUGGCUCAAUUAAGAAACACCAGGGAAAUAAAUUCAACCCAGUGUGUCUAAAAAUGACUACAAAACGAAGUUUGUUUGUGCGGUUGGUACCAUGUCGCUGUCUUCGAGGGGAAGAGGAGACUGUCACUACUCUGGAUUAUUCUCAUUGCAGUUUGGAACAAGUUCCCAAAGAGAUUUUUACUUUUGAAAAAACUUUGGAAGAACUCUAUUUAGAUGCUAAUCAAAUUGAAGAACUUCCAAAGCAACUCUUUAACUGUCAGUCUCUACACAAACUGAGUUUACCAGACAAUGAUUUAACCACAUUACCAGCAUCUAUUGCAAAUCUUAUUAAUCUCAGGGAACUGGAUGUCAGCAAAAAUGGAAUACAAGAGUUUCCAGAAAACAUAAAAAAUUGUAAGGUUUUGACAGUUGUGGAGGCCAGUGUAAACCCUAUUUCCAAGCUCCCUGAUGGAUUUUCUCAGCUGUUAAACCUAACCCAGUUGUAUUUGAAUGAUGCUUUCCUUGAGUUCUUGCCAGCUAAUUUUGGCAGAUUAACUAAACUCCAGAUAUUAGAACUCAGAGAAAACCAGUUGAAAAUGUUGCCUAAGACUAUGAAUAGAUUGACCCAGCUGGAAAGACUGGAUUUGGGAAGUAAUGAAUUCACAGAAGUGCCUGAAGUACUUGAGCAGCUAAGUGGAUUGAAAGAAUUUUGGAUGGAUGGUAAUAGACUGACUUUUAUUCCAGGGUUUAUUGGUAGUUUGAAACAGCUCACAUAUUUGGAUGUUUCUAAAAACAAUAUUGAAAUGGUUGAAGAAGGAAUUUCAGCAUGUGAAAACCUUCAAGACCUCCUAUUAUCAAGCAAUUCACUUCAACAACUGCCUGAGACUAUUGGUUCACUGAAGAAUGUAACAACUCUUAAAAUAGAUGAAAACCAAUUAAUGUAUUUACCAGACUCUAUAGGAGGGUUAAUAUCAAUAGAAGAACUGGAUUGUAGUUUCAAUGAAGUUGAAGCUUUGCCUUCCUCUAUUGGACAACUUACUAACAUAAGAACUUUUGCUGCAGAUCAUAAUUACUUACAACAGUUACCACCAGAGAUUGGAAACUGGAAAAAUGUAACUGUGUUGUUUCUCCAUUCUAAUAAGCUUGAGCUACUUCCAGAGGAGAUGGGUGAUAUGCAGAAAUUAAAAGUCAUUAAUUUAAGUGACAAUAGAUUAAAGAAUCUGCCCUUUAGCUUUACAAAGUUACAGCAGUUGACAGCUAUGUGGCUCUCAGAUAAUCAGUCCAAACCCCUGAUACCUCUUCAAAAAGAAACUGAUUCAGAGACUCAGAAAAUGGUGCUUACUAACUACAUGUUCCCUCAGCAGCCAAGGACUGAGGAUGUUAUGUUCAUAUCAGAUAAUGAAAGUUUUAAUCCUUCAUUGUGGGAGGAACAGAGGAAACAGCGAGCUCAAGUGGCAUUUGAAUGUGAUGAAGACAAAGAUGAAAGGGAAGCACCUCCAAGGGAAGGAAAUUUAAAGAGAUAUCCAACACCAUACCCAGAUGAGCUUAAGAAUAUGGUCAAAACUGUUCAAACCAUUGUACAUAGAUUAAAAGAUGAAGAGACCAAUGAAGACUCUGGAAGAGAUUUAAAACCACAUGAAGAUCAGCAAGUUGUAAACAAAGAUAUGGGUGAAAAGACUUCAGAAAGUACUGCUGCAAUAAAAAGCAAAGUUGAUGAAAGAGAAAAGUAUUUGAUAGGAAAUUCUAUUUUGAAGAUCAGUGAACCUGAAACUGAGAUCAGUCCUGGGAGUUUAUCAGUGACUGCACAUAUGAAAGCCUCUGAGAAUGUGAAGCACAUUGUUAACCAUGAUGAUGUUUUUGAGGAAUCUGAAGACCUUUCUUCUGAUGAGGAGAUGAAAAUGGCAGAGAUGAGACCACCAUUAAUUGAAACCUCUAUUAACCAGCCAAAAGUUGUAGCACUUAGUAAUAACAAAAAAGAUGAUAUAAAGGAUGCAGAUUCUUUAUCAGAUGAAGUUACACACAAUAGCAAUCAGAAUAACAGCAAUUGUUCUUCUCCAUCUCGGAUGUCUGAUUCAGUUUCUCUUAAUACAGAUAGUAGUCAAGACACCUCUCUCUGCUCUCCAGUGAAACAAACUCAUAUUGAUAUUAAUGCCAAAAUCAGGCAAGAAGAUGAAAAUUUCAACAGCCUUUUACAGAAUGGAGAUAUUUUAAACAAUUCAACAGAGGAAAAAUUCAAGGUUCGUGAUAAAAAAGAUUUUGACUUACCUGAAUAUGAUCUGAAUAUUGAAGAGCGAUUAGUUCUGCUUGAUAAAGGUGUUGAAUCAACAGCCACAUCCAAUGAAUCUCAGAAAUUAGACCAUCUCAAUAUGAAUUUUAAUAAACUUAUAACUAAUGAAACAUUUCAACCUGAUAUGGCGGGAAGAUCAAAGACGCAAGAUAUAAUGCUUGGAACCAACUUUUUAAGCAGUAAUUCUAAAAGAGAAGCUGAGCCUUUGGAAAAUGGAAAUAAGUAUCCUAAUUUGGAAUCCACAAACAAAGUAAAUGGACAUUCUGAGGACACGCCACAGUCUCCUAGUAGGGCUGAACCACAUGGCGUUGAUGCUACCGUUGACGUGGGUAUUUCUAAAAGCACUGAAGAUCUCUCUCCUCAGAGAAGUGGUCCAGUGGGAUCUGUUGUGAAAUCUCAUAGCAUAACCAAUAUAGAAACUGGAGGAUUAAAAAUCUACGACAUUCUUAGUGAUAAUGGACCUCAGCAACCAAGUGCAGCAGUUAAAAUCACAUCUACUGUUGAUGGAAAAAAUAUAGUCAGGAGCAAGUCUGCCACGCUGUUAUAUGAUCAACCAUUGCAAGUAUUUACUGGUUCUUCUUCAUCUUCUGAUUUAAUAUCAGGUACAAAAGCGAUUUUCAAGUUUGAUUCAAACCAUAAUCCUGAAGAGCCAAAUACAGUAAGAGGCCCCACAACAAGUGGCCCACAAUCUAUGCCUCAAAUAUAUGGUCCCCCACAAUAUAACAUCCAAUACAGUAGCAAUCCUGCAGUCAAAGACACUUUGUGGCAUUCUAAACAAAAUCCACAAGUAGAUCAAGUAAGUUUUCCUCCUCAGCGCCUUCCUAGAUCAGAGAGCACAGAAAAUCACAGCUAUGCCAAACAUUCUGCCAAUAUGAAUUUCUCUAACCAUAAUAAUGUUCGAGCUAACACUGCAUACCAUUUACAUCAGAGACUUGGCCCCGCAAGACAUGGGGAAAUGUGGGCCAUCUCACCAAAUGAACGACUCAUUCCUGCAGUAACUCGAGGUACAAUUCAGCGACAAAGUAGUGUGUCCUCCACAGCCUCUAUAAAUCUUGGUGAUCUAGGUCCCACAAGGAGGGCCCAAAUUCCUGAGGGAGAUUAUUUAUCAUACAGAGAGUUACAUUCAGUGGGAAGAACUCCACCAAUGAUGUCAGGAUCACAGAGACCUCUUUCUGCACGAACAUACAGCGUUGAUGGUCCAAAUGCAUCAAGGCCUCAGAGUGCUCGGCCUUCUGUUAAUGAAAUACCAGAGAGAACUAUGUCAGUUAGUGAUUUCAAUUAUUCACGGACUAGCCCUUCAAAAAGACCAAAUACAAGGGUGGGUUCUGAACAUUCUUUAUUAGAGCCUCCAGGAAAAAGUAAAGUUCCUCAUGAUUGGCGAGAACAAGUACUUCGACACAUCGAGGCCAAAAAGUUAGAAAAGAGCAUGCUGUCAAGGUCCUUUAAUUCCAAUUUGACUGCUGUAAGCAGUUUUCACUAUGGCAGCUCUAGGGAUCUGCAUGGCAGCCAGGGCAGUCUUGCCUUGAGUGUUGCAGACGGAAGAGGUUCUGGUGGGCACAUUUUUCGAACAUCCAGUCCAGGAGAUCCUUGCCAAGAUGAUACAUUCAUUUCAGGACAGCAGAACUACUCGUCAGCUACACUUAGUCACAAAGAUGUUCUUCCAGACAGCUUGAUAAAAAUGCCUUUGAGUAAUGGACAGAUGGGCCAGCCUCUCAGGCCUCAGGCAAAUUAUAGUCAAAUACAUCACCCCCCUCAGGCAUCUGUGGCAAGGCAUCCCUCUAGAGAACAACUAAUUGAUUACUUGAUGCUGAAAGUGGCCCACCAACCUCCAUAUACACAGCCCCAUUGUUCUCCUAGACAAGGCCAAGAACUGGCAAAACAAGAGAUUCGAGUAAGAAUUGAAAAGGAUCCAGAGCUUGGAUUUAGCAUAUCAGGAGGUGUUGGAGGUAGAGGAAACCCAUUCAGACCUGAUGAUGAUGGUAUAUUUGUAACAAGAGUACAGCCUGAAGGACCAGCAUCAAAAUUACUGCAACCAGGUGAUAAAAUUAUUCAGGUCUGGUGGUCUUCAUCUAAGGCAAAUGAGAAGGCUAGCGCCCCCUACCUUGCAGUUUGGUCACUUCAGGCUACAUUAGGACACACACACAGACAGGACCAUGUCUGACACUGAAUUAGACAAGUGUUUACUACAGUGGGCUGCUCCAUAAGAUUUGUCUGAAAACGUGGACAAAAUGCGGGUUCCUGGACUACAUCUUCAGAGAUUUUAUUUACAAAGGCUAAUGGCUACAGUUUUAUCAAUAUUGAACAUGGACAAGCAGUGUCCUUGCUUAAAACUUUCCAGAAUACAGUAGAACUCAUCAUUGUACGAGAAGUUCCCUCAUAAGCACUGUGGACAAGCAAGGGGGAAGACAGCAAGAUUUACUGGAAGAUACUUGCAGGGGAAAUUAAUAUUUUGACUAUUUUUAUAUAUAAAGAACUCAAAAAAUUAUGUUCAAAUUUGUACAUUAAUGAAAUAAUGGAACUUGUGGUUAGAGGGAAAGAACCACUGUACAGAAUAUAAAGAAGACUGUUGAAUUCGUACCAUAUGAAACUUACUGUUAGGUUUUUAAACAUAGCAAUCAAGGCUGCAGAAACAAACCCACGUUGUUUUUGUAUAGAUGGUGGCUUUAUUUUUGGAUUUCAUGUACAUGACUGUGUGCAAGGCAAUAGUUAGCCUUGACUGCAGCCCAGAGGCGGAUGGCAGAGCCGUCUGCCUCAUAGCUUUUGUGCCCUUAUUUUUAUUUGACUGGGAUUAAUGUUUUCUGCUGAAACUACUUUUCUUAAUGUGGGCAGAGAUUUGAAGUGUUGGCUUUUGCUAUGUGCAUAUUGAAUUGAAGAGUGAGUAGGUGAAGGUGGUGCUGAUGGGUUCACUUUCCAAGGCCAGAUUAAAAGUUAUUUCCUAUAAAGAUCUGGAAGCAAAGAAUGAAAAAAAAAAAAAGCUGUCCAUGUGUUUUUAUUGAUCGAAUAAUGCAAUAAAAUAUGUAAUGUCUUUUUUAA